rnacentral:rRNA from 1 species
GAUGCACUCUGGCGGCGUGCCUAAUACAUGCAAGUCGAGCGAACGGACGAGAAGCUUGCUUCUCUGAUGUUAGCGGCGGACGGGUGAGUAACACGUGGAUAACCUACCUAUAAGACUGGGAUAACUUCGGGAAACCGGAGCUAAUACCGGAUAAUAUUUUGAACCGCAUGGUUCAGAAGUGAAAGACGGUCUUGCUGUCACUUAUAGAUGGAUCCGCGCUGCAUUAGCUAGUUGGUAAGGUAACGGCUUACCAAGGCAACGAUGCAUAGCCGACCUGAGAGGGUGAUCGGCCACACUGGAACUGAGACACGGUCCAGACUCCUACGGGAGGCAGCAGUAGGGAAUCUUCCGCAAUGGGCGAAAGCCUGACGGAGCAACGCCGCGUGAGUGAUGAAGGUCUUCGGAUCGUAAAACUCUGUUAUUAGGGAAGAACAUAUGUGUAAGUAACUGUGCACAUCUUGACGGUACCUAAUCAGAAAGCCACGGCUAACUACGUGCCAGCAGCCGCGGUAAUACGUAGGUGGCAAGCGUUAUCCGGAAUUAUUGGGCGUAAAGCGCGCGUAGGCGGUUUUUUAAGUCUGAUGUGAAAGCCCACGGCUCAACCGUGGAGGGUCAUUGGAAACUGGAAAACUUGAGUGCAGAAGAGGAAAGUGGAAUUCCAUGUGUAGCGGUGAAAUGCGCAGAGAUAUGGAGGAAUAACAGUGGGGAAGGGGAGUUUUUGGUCUGUUUCUGACGGUGAUGUGUGAAAGAGUGGGGAUUAAAUAGGAUUAGAUACACUGGUUGUGUAGUCGUAAACGAUGAGAGAUAAGUGUUGUGGGGUGUGCGGCCCUUAUUGCUGCGGCUUAUGGAUUAAGCAAUCCGCCUGGGGAGUACGACCGCAAGGUUGAAACUCAAAGGAAUUGACUGGGAGGCGCACAAGCGGUGGAGCAUGUGGUGUUAUUUUAAGCAACGCGAAGAAACUUACCAAAACUUGAGAUCCUUUGUAUAAGUCUAGAGAUAGAGAUUUUCCCUUCGGGGGGAAAAAAUACAGGUGGUGGAUGGGUGUUGUCAUCUCUUGUCGUGAGAUGUUGUGGUUUAGUUCCGCAACGAGAGCAACCCUUAAGCUUAAUUGUCAUUUUUUAUUUGGGGACUCUAAAUUGAAUGUGGGUGACAAACAGGAGGAAGGGGGGGAUGAGAUUAAAAUUUUAUGCCCCUUUUGAUUUGGGGUUCACAUAUGUUUCUUUGGGAAAAUAAAAGGGGAGUGGAUAUGCGAGGGGGAGAGAAUUCCAAAAAGUUGUUCUUUUUUUGGAUUUAGGUUUGGUACUUUACUAUUUGAGAUGGGAGUCUGGAUUAAUUUUAGAUUGAUUGUUAGGGGGGAUAAAUUUUCGGGUUU